GACGAACGCUGGCGGCGUGCUUAACACAUGCAAGUCGAACGGAAAGGCCCUGCUUUUGUGGGGUGCUCGAGUGGCGAACGGGUGAGUAACACGUGAGUAACGCCCUUGACUUUGGGAUAACUUCAGGAAACUGGGGCUAAUACCGGAUAGGAGCUCCUGCUGCAUGGUGGGGGUUGGAAAGUUUCGGCGGUUGGGGAUGGACUCGCGGCUUAUCAGCUUGUUGGUGGGGUAGUGGCUUACCAAGGCUUUGACGGGUAGCCGGCCUGAGAGGGUGACCGGCCACAUUGGGACUGAGAUACGGCCCAGACUCCUACGGGAGGCAGCAGUGGGGAAUAUUGCACAAUGGGCGGAAGCCUGAUGCAGCAACGCCGCGUGCGGGAUGACGGCCUUCGGGUUGUAAACCGCUUUCGCCUGUGACGAAGCGUGAGUGACGGUAAUGGGUAAAGAAGCACCGGCUAACUACGUG
rnacentral:rRNA from 1 species